CCCUUAGAUGUUCUGGGCCGCACGCGCGCUACACUGAUACAUUCAACGAGUAUACAACCUUGACUGAGAAGUCUGGGUAAUCUUUUGAAACUGUAUCGUGCUGGGGAUUGAACAUUGCAAUUUUUGUUCAUCAACGAGGAAUUCCUAGUAAAUGCAAGUCAUCAGCUUGCGUUGAUUACGUCCCUGCCCUUUGUACACACCGCCCGUCGCACCUACCGAUUGAAUGUUCCGGUGAAAUUUUCGGACUGUUGCAAUGUCGCCUUUAUUGGAGACGCUGCAGCGGGAAGUUAAUUAAACCUUAGCAUUUAGAGGAAGGUAAAGUCGUAACA
rnacentral:rRNA from 1 species